rnacentral:rRNA from 1 species
AUACGUAGGUGGCAAGCGUUGUCCGGAUUUACUGGGUGUAAAGGGCGUGUAGGUGGGUUGUCAAGUCUGAUGUGAAAGGCCGGGGCUCAACCCCGGGACUGCAUUGGAAACUGUCAGGCUAGAGUGCAGGAGGGGUAAGCGGAAUUCCUAGUGUAGCGGUGAAAUGCGUAGAUAUUAGGAGGAACACCGGUGGCGAAGGCGGCUUUCUGGACUGUAACGGACGCUGAGGCACGAAAGCGGGGGGAGCAAACAGGAUUAGAUCCCCUGGUAGUCCACGCCGUAAACGAUGGAUACUGGGUGUAGGGGUCAAAAGACUUCUGUGCCGCAGCAAACGCAUUAAGUAUCCCGCCUGGGGAGUACGGCCGCAAGGCUGAAACUCAAAUGAAUUGGCGGGG